UACGAAGGGGGCUAGCGUUGCUCGGAAUCACUGGGCGUAAAGGGUGCGUAGGCGGGUCUUUAAGUCAGGGGUGAAAUCCUGGAGCUCAACUCCAGAACUGCCUUUGAUACUGAAGAUCUUGAGUGCGGGAGAGGUGAGUGGAACUGCGAGUGUAGAGGUGAAAUUCGUAGAUAUUCGGAAGAACGCCAGUGGCGAAGGCGGCUCACUGGACCGGUAUUGACGCUGAGGUGCGAAAGCGUGGGGAGCAAACAGG
rnacentral:rRNA from 1 species